AAUAGAUACCCCGGUAGUCCACGCCGUAAACGAUGAGUGCUAAGUGUUAGAGGGUUUCCGCCCUUUAGUGCUGCAGCUAACGCAUUAAGCACUCCGCCUGGGAAGUACGGUCGCAAGACUGAAACUCAAAGGAAUUGACGGGGGCCCGCACAAGCGGUGGAGCAUGUGGUUUAAUUCGAAGCAACGCGAAGAACCUUACCAGGUCUUGACAUCCCACUGACCGGUAUAGAGAUAUACCUUUCCCUUCGGGGACAGUGGUGACAGGUGGUGCAUGGUUGUCGUCAGCUCGUGUCGUGAGAUGUUAGGUUAAGUCCCGCAACGAGCGCAACCCUUGAUCUUAGUUGCCAGCAUUUAGUUGGGCACUCUAAGGUGACUGCCGGUGACAAACCGGAGGAAGGUGGGGAUGACGUCAAAUCAUCAUGCCCCUUAUGACCUGGGCCACACACGUGCUACAAUGGAUGGUACAAAGGGCUGCAAGACUGCGAAGUCAAGCCAAUCCCAUAAAACCAUUCUCAGUUCGGAUUGCAGG
rnacentral:rRNA from 1 species